rfam:Nitrosomonas sp. Is79A3, complete genome.
UAAUCCCUGCGGUGUUUGUUAAGAUCUAUAUUCUUUGAACCAAGUAUUAGAAAAUGGUUGUGGACUUUAGUGAUACUGUUGUGCGCACCGAUAUACUGGAUGUGCCUGAUGUAUCCGUGAAGCAACCGCCUUGGACCUCAUGGUUCAAGAUGAAGAUCUGACGGCAUAUGUGGGGAGCUA